GCGGUUGUGGCUCAGUGGUAGAGCACUUGCCUAGCACGUGAGAGGCCCUGGGUUCUAUUCUUAGCACCGCA
rnacentral:tRNA from 1 species